rnacentral:rRNA from 1 species
GACGAACGCUGGCGGCGUGCUUAACACAUGCAAGUCGAACGGAAAGGCCCUGCUUUUGUGGGGUGCUCGAGUGGCGAACGGGUGAGUAACACGUGAGUAACCUGCCCUUGACUUUGGGAUAACUUCAGGAAACUGGGGCUAAUACCGGAUAGGAGCUCCUGCUGCAUGGUGGGGGUUGGAAAGUUUCGGCGGUUGGGGAUGGACUCGCGGCUUAUCAGCUUGUUGGUGGGGUAGUGGCUUACUAAGGCUUUGACGGGUAGCCGGCCUGUGAGGGUGACCGGCGACAUUGGGACGGAGAGAAGGCCCAGAAUCCAACGGGAGGCAGCAGGGGGGAAGAUGGCACAAUGGGCGGAAGCCAGAUGCAGCAACGCCGCGUGCGGGAUGACGGCCUUCGGGUUGUAAACCGCUUUCGCCUGUGACGAAGCGUGAGUGACGGUAAUGGGUAAAGAAGCACCGGCUAACUACGUG